rnacentral:rRNA from 1 species
UACGUAGGGUGCGAGCGUUGUCCGGAAUUAUUGGGCGUAAAGAGCUCGUAGGCGGUUUGUCGCGUCUGCUGUGAAAACUCGGGGCUUAACCCCGGGCCCGCAGUGGGUACGGGCAGACUAGAGUGCGGUAGGGGAGACUGGAAUUCCUGGUGUAGCGGUGAAAUGCGCAGAUAUCAGGAGGAACACCGGUGGCGAAGGCGGGUCUCUGGGCCGUAACUGACGCUGAGGAGCGAAAGCGUGGGGAGCGAACAGG